UGGGAUUCGGCUCAGUGGCAGAGCGCUUGCCUCUUGUGCUCGAGGCCCUGGGUUCCAUCCCCAGCAUCACAA
rnacentral:tRNA from 1 species